rnacentral:rRNA from 1 species
UCGUGCCAGCCACCGCGGUCAUACGAUUAACCCAAAUCAAUGGGCCAACGGCGUAAAACGUGUUAAGGACUAUACAACACUAAAGUUAAAAUUUAACCAGGCCGUAAAAAGCUACUGUUAAUACAAAACAAACCACGAAAGUGACUUUACCACUUCCGACAACACGAUAGCUGAGAUCCAAACUGGGAUUAGAUACCCA